rnacentral:lncRNA from 1 species
GACUGUCUGUUUGCAUUGCUUGCCUUUUUUUUCUUUCAGAAUGAAAGAGUUGUAAAACUCACAAAUAGAUUAACAACAUAAUUCAAAAUUCAUUAAUACUGGUGAGCCUAAUUCAGCCUGGUUUCUGAAUUCUGCACGUGCUUCAGUCAUGGGAUAUCAAACACUCUGUGUCAUCCUAGCUGGAUUGCCAGCAGCCUGUCAGAAGUACAAGGACAUAUAACUGAAAAAGCAACAUAAACCAGAACGCCACUCAGAGGAGUAUGUUAAGUUCUUCUGUAGACCAAGACAUCCUGACUGCUACUUUUUUGAUACCUGGAUACACAGCUCAUGUGUCUGGUUGCUCCUAUGAAUAUCCAGGCUGUUCUGCUAGAUGUGUAAUCUCCAGUGCCCUGGGAAAUGUCUCUUCUCCUGAGGAUCGUUGGUACCUUGAUCUCCAGGCUGGCGCAUCAGCAGUUGUCAGUUUCACAGAGUCCAAAGUAAAAUGCAAUCGAAUUUCUUCAGGGACAACAUUGUAACACAAAAGACAAGGAUGUGGCCCUGUAACCCAGAGUUCUGAAAAAAAAUGUGAAGAAAA